GACGAACGCUGGCGGCGUGCUUAACACAUGCAAGUCGAACGGUGAAGGGAUCAGCUUGCUGGUUCUGGAUGAGUGGCGAACGGGUGAGUAACACGUGAGUAACCUGCCCCCUUCUUCUGGAUAACCGCAUGAAAGUGUGGCUAAUACGGGAUAUUCUGCGCCUGCUGCAUGGUGGGUGUGGGAAAGAUAUUGUUUCGGUGGGGGAUGGGCUCGCGGCCUAUCAGCUUGUUGGUGGGGUGAUGGCCUACCAAGGCGGUGACGGGUAGCCGGCCUGAGAGGGUGGACGGUCACACUGGGACUGAGACACGGCCCAGACUCCUACGGGAGGCAGCAGUGGGGAAUAUUGCACAAUGGGCGCAAGCCUGAUGCAGCGACGCCGCGUGAGGGAUGGAGGCCUUCGGGGUGUGAACCUCUUUCGCCAGUGAAGCAGGCCUGUCCCGUGUGGGUGGGUUGACGGUAGCUGGAUAAGAAGCGCCGGCUAACUACGUG
rnacentral:rRNA from 1 species